rnacentral:rRNA from 1 species
UAGGGAAUAUUGGACAAUGGGCGAAAGCCUGAUCCAGCCAUGCCGCGUGUGUGAAGAAGGUCUUCGGAUUGUAAAGCACUUUAAGUUGGGAGGAAGGGCAGUAAGUUAAUACCUUGCUGUUUUGACGUUACCGACAGAAUAAGCACCGGCUAACUCUGUGCCAGCAGCCGCGGUAAUACAGAGGGUGCAAGCGUUAAUCGGAAUUACUGGGCGUAAAGCGCGCGUAGGUGGUUUGUUAAGUUGGAUGUGAAAGCCCCGGGCUCAACCUGGGAACUGCAUCCAAAACUGGCAAGCUAGAGUACGGUAGAGGGUGGUGGAAUUUCCUGUGUAGCGGUGAAAUGCGUAGAUAUAGGAAGGGACACCAGUGGCGAAGGCGACCACCUGGACUGAUACUGACACUGAGGUGCGAAAGCGUGGGGAGCAAACAGGAUUAGAUACCCCAGUAGUCCCUGAGCGGGCUGGCAAGGCGCAU